rnacentral:lncRNA from 1 species
GAUGCCGUCAGCGCUGACUCCGUUCUCCUUCAAGAUCCCAGCGAGCAUGUGACCGAACUCGUCGUCGCCGAGCUUGCCGACGAAGGCUGCCUUGCCGCCGAGGCGAGCUACGGCUAUGGCGACGUUGGCGGGGGCGCCGCCGGGGGCCUUGAGGAAUCCGGGGGCCUCGGCGAGGGAGACGCCGGAGACCGUCGGGACGAAGUCGAUGAGCAUCUCACCGAAGGACACGAUCAGGCUUGAGGAGGAUGAAACGGC